rnacentral:rRNA from 1 species
CCUACGGGGGGCAGCAGUGGGGAAUAUUGGACAAUGGGGGGAACCCUGAUCCAGCGACGCCGCGUGAGUGAAGAAGUAUUUCGGUAUGUAAAGCUCUAUCAGCAGGGAAGAAAAUGACGGUACCUGACUAAGAAGCCCCGGCUAACUACGUACCAGCAUCCGCGGUAAUACGUAGGGAGCAAGCGUUAUCCGGAUUUACUGGGUGGAAAGGGAGCGUAGACGGUGCAGCAGGUCUGGUGUGAAAGGUCGGGGCCGAACCCGGGGACUGCAUUGGAAACUGUUGAGAUGGAGUACAGGAGAGGUAAGCGGAAUUCGUAGUGUAGCGGUGAAAUGCUUAGAUAUUAGGAGGAACACCAGUGGCGAAGGCGGCUUACUGGACUGUAACUGACGUUGAGGCUCGAAAGCGUGGGGAGCAAACAGGAUUAGAUACCCUUGUAGUC